UUGACCUCGAAUCAGGUAGGGAUACCCGCUGAACUUAAGCAUAUCAAUAAGCGGANNNNNNNNNNNNNNNNNNNNNNNNNNNAGUAACGGCGAGUGAAGCGGUAACAGCUCAAAUUUGAAAUCUGGCUCCUUCGGAGUCCGAGUUGUAAUUUGUAGAAGAUGCUUUGGGUUGCAGGUUCGGUCUAAGUUCCUUGGAACAGGACGUCGUAGAGGGUGAGAAUCCCGUAUGCGGCCGUGACUUGUGCCCGUGUAAAGCUCUUUCGACGAGUCGAGUUGUUUGGGAAUGCAGCUCAAAAUGGGUGGUAAAUUUCAUCUAAAGCUAAAUAUAGGCCAGAGACCGAUAGCGCACAAGUAGAGUGAUCGAAAGAUGAAAAGCACUUUGGAAAGAGAGUUAAACAGUACGUGAAAUUGUUGAAAGGGAAGCGCUUGCAACCAGACUUGGGCGUCGUGGAUCAUCCAAGGUUUUCCUCGGUGCACUCGACGACGCACAGGCCAGCAUCGGUUCGGAUGGCUGGAAAAAGGUCCUAGAAAUGUAGCUCCUCGCGGGGAGUGUUAUAGUCUAGGGCGCAAUGCAGCCCAACCGGACCGAGGACCGCGCUUCGGCUAGGAUGCUGGCGUAAUGGUUGUAAGCGACCCGUCUUGAAACACGGACCAAGGAGUCUAACAUCUAUGCGAGUGUUUGGGCGUUAAACCCAUACGCGGAAUGAAAGUGAACGUAGGUGAGAACCCGUAAGGGGGCAUCAUCGACCGAUCCUGAAGUCUUCGGACGGAUUUGAGUAAGAGCAUAGCUGUUGGGACCCGAAAGAUGGUGAACUAUGCCUGAAUAGGGUGAAGCCAGAGGAAACUCUGGUGGAGGCUCGCAGCGGUUCUGACGUGCAAAUCGAUCGUCAAAUUUGGGUAUAGGGGCGAAAGACUAAUCGAACCAUCUAGUACCUGGUCCCUGCCGAAGUUUCCCUCAGGAUAA
rnacentral:rRNA from 1 species